rnacentral:rRNA from 1 species
AAUGGAGGCAACUCUGAACCAGCCAUGCCGCGUGCAGGAAGACGGCCUCUGGGUUGUAAACUGCUUUUAUUAGGGAAGAAACGCCUCAUGCGUGAGGAACUGACGGUACCUAAAGAAUAAGCACCGGCUAACUCCGUGCCAGCAGCCGCGGUAAUACGGAGGGUGCAAGCGUUGUCCGGAUUUAUUGGGUUUAAAGGGUGCGUAGGCGGUCUUUUAAGUCAGAGGUGAAAUCCCACAGCUUAACUGUGGAACUGCCUUUGAAACUGGAAGACUUGAGUAUAGUUGAGGUAGGCGGAAUUUAUGAUGUAGCGGUGAAAUGCAUAGAUAUCAUAAAGAACUCCGAUUGCGAAGGUAGCUUACUGGACUAUAACUGACGCUGAGGCACGAAAGCUUGGGGAGCGAACUGGAUU